rnacentral:rRNA from 1 species
UACGUAGGGUGCUAGCGUUGUCCGGAUUUAUUGGGCCUAAAGCAUCCGUAGCCGGUUCUACAAGUCUUCCGUUAAAUCCACCUGCUCAACAGAUGGGCUGCGGAAGAUACUAUGGAGCUAGGAGGCGGGAGAGGCAAGCGGUACUCGAUGGGUAGGGGUAAAAUCCGUUGAUCCAUUGAAGACCACCAGUGGCGAAGGCGGCUUGCCAGAACGCGCUCGACGGUGAGGGAUGAAAGCUGGGGGAGCAAACCGG